rnacentral:rRNA from 1 species
UGAUGAACGCUGGCGGCGUGCCUAACACAUGCAAGUCGAACGUGAUCCCGUUUUCGGAUGGGUGAAAGUGGCGAACGGGUGAGUAACACGUUGGUGACCUGCCCCGAAGAGGGGGAUAACUCUGGGAAACCAGAGCUAAAACCCCAGAUGUUUAAGAGUUUAGACGCCUUAAACUAAAACCUUGGUGCUUUGGGAGGGGCCUGCGGGCUAUCAGCUAGUUGGUGGGGUAAAGGCCUACCAAGGCGAAGACGGCUAGGGGGCGUGAGAGCGUGACCCCCCACAAUGGAACUGAGAAACGGUCCAUACUCCUACGGGAGGCAGCAGUGAGGAAUAUUGCACAAUGGGCGCAAGCCUGAUGCAGCAACGCCGCGUGGAUGAUGAAGGCCUUCGGGUUGUAAAAUCCUUUUCUGGGGAAAGAUAAUGACGGUACCCCAGGAAUAAGUUCCGGCUAACUACGUGCCAGCAGCCGCGGUAAAACGUAGGGGACGAGCGUUAUCCGGAUUUACUGGGCGUAAAGCGCAUGUAAGGUGGCUUGAAAAGUUGG